rnacentral:pre_miRNA from 1 species
GGGGGGAGGCCGGAUCCUGGGCUGUGUCCCCGGCGCUCAGUGCUCCCGGCCGGCGCUGGUGGAUUCGCGCUCCCGCCCCGCAGCCUCCU